rnacentral:snRNA from 1 species
AUACUUACCUGGCAGGGGAGAUACCAUGAUCAUGAAGGUGGUUUUCCCAGAGUGAGGCUCACCUAUUGCACUCCAGGUGUGCUGACCCCUGCAAUUUCCCCAAAUGUGGGAAACUUGACUUUGUGGUAGUCGGGGACUGCGUUCGCGCUAUCCCGUU